rnacentral:lncRNA from 1 species
GCUGGACAAGUACUGAGUCAGAAGUGCACUGUAAGUGCACCAAACAGCCUUUCUUGUUAGUAGCCCACCAGAUAUUAAUUACUCAAAUGCAAAUCUGGUGACUCUGGCAGGUUUCUAGAAGCAAGGUUCACCAUCCUCCUUGACUCUCCUCACUGCUCUUUCACUUCUUUCUUUUAAUUUUUCUUUUACAUUUUGCUAGAAAGGUUUAUUGAUGGCUUUGUGGUUUUGCUUUUUACAUUUCCCUUUUCCUUCCUCUAUUUUUCCAAAAGGUGGACUUUGACUGGAUUUACCAGAAUUAGAGGAGCUUCAUAAAGGUUCAGGUGCUGACACACUACUACAGAUCUAACAGCACUGAUGAAAGACUCUCUCACCAGUCAGCACCGAGGGAUGUAGAGAUUGCAGUGCUUCUUUCACUUGCUGAAUUAGGAACUCAUGGCUUUCCAAGUGAAGAAAGUGACAUCAGGACACUAAGCUGAAAGGCAUUUUCUACAAUGUGCGGUAUUAGACGACUCCUUAGGAUUCAGUAGCUGAACACUCAUUCUCAGCUUCUCCUGCUGCCAGAGUAUUCCUGUGCCACAAGUAGAAUGUGAGUGAUCUCUUCCCAUCCAAGGCCCACAGGUAGGAAGCUGACAUAACUGUUAUGAUUUGCAGACAGAGCAAAGCUUUGAAGUGAGGAUCCUCUCUCUCUCUCUCUCUCUCUCUCUCUGAUGCUCAUAGGCAAUGUCAUCAGUUACUGAUACCUAGAUAAGAUGUGCAAAAAGAAUACCACGUGACAGCAAGAACGGUGAACCAAGGAAGGCAAGGAGAGAGGAAGAUCUGCUGUAUCCCAGCCUGUGACUAGGCUUCUCCUCCCAUGGAAAAUUCUGAAAUUGGAGCAAGACAACUGCUGCUUGGAGAUUAUGCAGUAAGAGUAGAGACAGUUAGUAGUUAUUUCAAUUAAGCAAGUCAUAUAGGUCCUUCAUAAUCACUGACAAGAAAAAACACAAUUCCUCUCAACCUAAAAUAGACAUCUAAAACAGGUCAAAUAUGCAUCCUCCUACACAUAGUUAUGGGAGCCUAGAAGACCAGCUCAGACAGAGACAUUUGUGUUUCAGAAUAUGAAGUCAGGUGAAAUGAAUCCCACCUGCAUGGGCUGCCAAGUGUGAGGUGUUUAAAG